rnacentral:tRNA from 1 species
CGUGCUGGAGUAUGCCGGUAGUACGCACGAUUCGGGUUCGUGCAGACCGGGUUCGAUUCCCGGCGGCCCGA